rnacentral:rRNA from 1 species
UACGGGGGGAGCAAGCGUUGUUCGGAUUUACUGGGCGUAAAGGGCGCGUAGGCGGUCAGCACAAGUCAGUUGUGAAAUCUCCGGGCUUAACCCGGAAAGGUCAACUGAUACUGUGCGACUAGAGUGCGGAAGGGGCAACUGGAAUUCCAGGUGUAGCGGUGAAAUGCGUAGAUAUCUGGAAGAACACCGGUGGCGAAGGCGGUCAACUGGCCCUAAACUGACGCUCAUGCACGAAAGCGUGGGGAUCAAACAGG